rfam:Daucus carota subsp. sativus cultivar DH1 chromosome 7, whole genome shotgun sequence.
UCUCAGUGAUGAUGAAACUAUGAUGACGAGUCUGAUAUCCAUUCUAAAAUCAUGACGACAAAACGAGGCAUUUGUCUGAGAGAA